rnacentral:rRNA from 1 species
CACGUAGGGUGCGAGCGUUGUCCGGAAUUAUUGGGCGUAAAGAGCUCGUAGGCGGUGUGUCGCGUCGGCCCGUGAAAACCUGCAGCUUAACUGUGGGCGUGCGGUCGAUACGGGCAUCACUGGAGUUCGGCAGGGGAGACUGGAAUUCCUGGUGUAGCGGUGAAAUGCGCAGAUAUCAGGAGGAACACCGGUGGCGAAGGCGGGUCUCUGGGCCGAUACUGACGCUGAGGAGCGAAAGCGUGGGGAGCGAACAGG